CGCCUGGUAGUGUGGCGUGUCCACAGUGAAGACCAGAGUUUCAUUGUCCUUAAGACUGACCUGGGGAGAUGUGGCUGUAGGCCAUUGAGGAAGGUGAGGCAACAGCUUCCUGUCUGCUCCCCGUGUGCUGAGGAGGGAGUUCUGCCGUGGGCUUUACUUUCACAUGUUAUAUUCCACAAGUCUUGUUUUACAAAAGCAUCCCUUCCUUGAGGCUUCGGCUGCUCAUCGCUGCUCAUCAUCAUAGCGUGCCAUAACAUAUAGUAAGAUUUGGGUUUGUUUCUGGGGAGAUAUCUUGGUAUAGAGAAAGGAGAAAUGCUUAGAGCCACCAUCAGGACAGUUGGGAUGAAAGUUGGGUAUAGGCAGAGGCUGGAGGAAACAUGUGCAUCCCCUGUAAACACUUUUAUUCAUGUUUUAAUUACUCAUUUUUCUUACAGUGUUAAAUUAGUAAAGAUAGUAUUGAAAAAUUGAAAAGUAGGCAUAUUAAAACUUGCAACACUAUUUAAGCCUAGAUAUAUUAUUUGUACCUCAUCAACAUUUUUUAUUGUGUUGAGAAAGUUUAAGGUUAAUUGACAGCAUAUUUCUAAUAGUAGAUAGAAUAACAUCCCUUUUAUAAACAUUGACAUCCUACAUUACAUGUGUGAACCCUGAAAAUCUGAGACAGCUCUCAGAUUUUUUAGAAAGUUUAUUUUGCCAAUCUUGAGGAUGUGCGCCUGUGAUGCCUCCUCAGGAGAUCCUGACAACAUGGGCCCAAGGUGGUCGGGGCACAGCUUGGUUUUAUACACUUUAGGGAGACACGAGAGAUCAAUCAAUACGUGUAAGAUGUACAUUGGUUCAGUCCAGAAAGGUGAGAAGGCCAGACAGGGGGCUUCCAGGUCACAGGUAAGUAAGAGACAAAUGGUUUCAUUCUUUUGCAUUGCUGAUUACCCUCUCCAUGUGAGGCAAUCAGGUAUGCAUUUAUCUAGGUGAUCAGACGGG
rnacentral:lncRNA from 1 species